rnacentral:rRNA from 1 species
GAUGAACGCUGGCGGCGUGCUUAACACAUGCAAGUCGAACGAAGUGGAGAUCUUCGGAUUGAAACUUAGUGGCGGACGGGUGAGUAACGCGUGGGUAACCUGCCUCGUACAGGGGGAUAACAGUUAGAAAUGACUGCUAAUACCGCAUAACCCGCUAAGGUCGCAUGACCUGGACGGAAAAGAUUUAUUGGUACGAGAUGGACCCGCGUCUGAUUAGCUAGUUGGUGAGGUAACGGCCCACCAAGGCGACGAUCAGUAGCCGACCUGAGAGGGUGAUCGGCCACAUUGGGACUGAGACACGGCCCAAAUCCUACGGGAGGCAGCAUGGGGAAUAUGCACAAUGGGGGAAACCCUGAUGCAGC